AUGAAGGUGCUGCUGAGAAUUUUAACUUUCUGAAAACCCUCUGGGGAUAACUACUUUCCUCCAAUGACUAGGAAGAUAACCUACAAAUCAUGGUUAGACUAGAUGCCUUGCUUGUAAAUAGCUAUGGAAAAGCAAGAAGAAUCUCACUUUUGAUCUGUUUUUUCCCCAUCCUGCUCUGAACACCUCACUACAAGAUGAAGUGGUAUUAAAAAGAGUGCUGGGGUUGUCUUCAAUCACUCUGGAAGCCCCCUCUUCUAACAGGCACCUCUGACAAGAGUCUGGCUUUGUCUUCUAUGGGAAAAACACCCCAGCAGAUAUUUAUACACAUGGAUAAGAUUCCCCUGAGCAUUCUCUUCUCCAGGCUGAGCAGUCCCAGCUCUCCCAGCCUCUCCAGGCCCUGAAUUGCCUCACCAGGACUCAGGAGAGGGGAAGGAUCACACUCCACCAGCUGCUGUGGACACUGCCUGAUGUAGACCAAGAUGCUUUGCCACAGGGGCACAUGGCGUGGUCAGCUUGGUGUUCACCAGGACUCCCAGGUGCUUUUCUGCCAAGAUGCUUUCCAGGAGGUUGUACAGGAUAAUUCAUCCCCAGGGGGAGGAAUCGUCACUUUCCAUUGUUCAGCUUCAUGAGACUUCUGCUGGCCCAUCCCUCCAGCCUGCCAAGGUCCCUCUGAAUGGCAGGACACCCAUCUGGUCUGUCAGUCACUCACCCCAAGAGAUCUAUUCUGCCCAGAAAAGAACUGGGGUCUUCUAAUCACAUCUCUCAAUUAACAGAAUCAUAGCACAGCAGAGGGUUUUGUCACCAUUGUGUUGUGACGAAAUUCAAGACAUGUACUUGAGGACUGUACAGAAUAAAUGUCCUUCUCCUUAGAAAUUUAUUUACAACCAGAAGGCACAAAGGUCUGCAUAUAAGAUCAUGUCAGUGGAAUUCUGACAGCAUGAAGUAACAUACCAAAUAAGUCAAUUUCCAGUAAUUUAAAUUUAUGUUGCCUUUUAUAUUUGGGAUACCUGCUCUUUUUGUAUGUGUGCCUUGUCACUAAAUGUGUGUAUUAGAUCUAUAUUGCCAAUACUAAAACAGACUUUAAGAAAAAAAAAAUGUAGCAAUGAUUCUAUUUUGUUGAGAUGUUCUGGAGAGACACUACAAACCACAGAAAGGAAAUCUGAGUUGCUGGUGAUGUUACAGGGAUGCUGAGAUUGCUAGAACAGCCCUAUUAAA